AUACGUAGGUGGCGAGCGUUGUCCGGAAUUAUUGGGCGUAAAGGAUGCGUAGGUGGAUAUUUAAGUGGGAUGUGAAAUCCCCGGGCUCAACCCGGGAACUGCAUUCCAUACUGGAUGUCUAGAGUGCAGGAGAGGAAAGCGGAAUUCCUAGUGUAGCGGUGAAAUGCGUAGAUAUUAGGAGGAACACCAGUGGCGAAGGCGGCUUUCUGGACUGUAACUGACGCUGAGGCAUGAAAGCGUGGGUAGC
rnacentral:rRNA from 1 species